CUUCCCCGAUCCAGUAGAUUUGAAUGGUUUGCACCAGUAAACUUGACUGGUCUGUACCAGUAUGUUGUUCUGGUCUGAUCCAGUAGGUUUUACUGGUUUGCACCAGUAAACUUGACUGGUCUGCACCAGUAUGUUUGACCGGUCUGUACCAGUUGGUUUGACUGGUCUGUACCAGUAGGUUUGACUGGUCUGUACCAGUAGGUUUGACUGGUCUGUACCAGUAGGUUUGACUGGUCUGCACCAGUAGACUUGACUGGUCUUCACCAGUAGGCUUGACUGCUCUGUACCAGUAGGCUUGACCGGUCUGCACCAGUAGACUUGAAUGGUUUGCACCAGUAAACUUGACUGGUCUGCACCAGUAGGUUUGAUUGGUUUGCACCAGUAAACUUGACUGGUCUGUACCAGUAGGUUUGACUGGUCUGAUCCAGUCGAUUUGACUGGUCUGUACCAGUAAACUUGACAUGUCUAUACCAGUAGGUUUGACUUCCCUGAUCCAGUAGAUUUGAAUGGUUUGCACCAGUGAACCUGACUGGUCUGUACCAGUAUGUUUUACUGGUCUGAUUCAGUAGGUUUUACUGGUUUGCACUAGUAGUUUUGACUGGUCUGCUCCAGUAGGUUUGACCAGUCUGUACCAGUAGGUUUGACCGGUCUGAUCCAGUAGGUUUGACUGGUCUGUACCAGUAGACUUGACUGGUCUGCUCCAGUAGGUUUGACCAGUCUGUACCAGUAGGUUUGACUGGUCUGAUCCAGUAGGUUUGACUGGUCUGAUCCAGUAGGUUUGACUGGUCUGAUCCAGUAGGUUUGAGUGGUCUGCACCAGUAGGUUUGAGUGGUCUGCACCAGUAGGUUUGACUGGUCUGAUCCAGUAGGUUUGACUGGUCUGAUCCAGUAGGUUUGAGUGGUCUGCACCAGUAGGUUUGACCAUUUUGCACCAGUAAGUUUGACCAUUUUGCACCAGUAGGUUAGUCCGGUUUCCACCAGUAGAUUUGACCAGUUUGUACCAGUAGGUUUGACUGGUCUGCACCAGUAGGAGACAGUCAGCAUGGCUAGUUGGUACAAAAAUCGUCAUUGCUGGUCAAACAGGUUUGAAAUCUGGAUGGUUGUAGUUUACAGAUUUGUAGCUGGUGGAUGUGCACAUGUUGUAAAGACUAGAAAAUUGUACACUGCCAAAAGUAAACUUCCUUCAUAAUAACUGAGCAAUUUCUGCAAAUACUGAUUGUAAAGUUUGACUGAGGUCUUUGGAAAAAUACUUUAAAAAUUUUAGUUCUACUUUAUCAUUUUCAAAUUUGCUCUUCUGAAGUGUAAAGUGUUUGUUUGUCUCAAUUGUCUUUAGCAGGUGUUGAUUUUUAUAUUUAUAUACCAAGCUGAAGAAAGCACAAGACUAAAUGUCAGUUUAAAUGAACUCUUCUUGAUGGUGUUUUGUGAUUACUCAAGUCCUYCUGUGUCACUGCUGUUCCUGUGGAUUCCACUCCUCUCCAGGAGAUGAGAGAAAUAAUGAUCAUUACAAACAGGCCUGUUCACGUCACGCUUCUUCGCCUCAAUCAUUUCACUUUAAAAACACAGAGCGCAGUAAUGGUUCCAGCAAUGACUGAGGUGAAAAAUCAUCACCAGCUCCUUUCUAAUGACUUCCUUCUCAUCAUGAAAACACAAGAAAAAAAAAAAACAUCCAAGAAUGUUUCCUGAGUUUCACCUACAUUAUAUAUUUAUAUCAUGAAAUGAUCGUCAGAGGCUGUUUCUGGUCAAAAGAUUGUAAAAAAAGCUCUCAGAUGGAUAUGAAUGAAAAGAUUAAAUGUAAAUACGAACAUUGUUUUGUGAAAUACUUGAAAUCCCUUUAAUUCGUUGUUGUUGUUGAACGUGUCGUACCCUUCUUGUAGAGACAACCUUCUCAUCAGAAUGAAGACGGUGUGUAAAAUAGAAGCUCGGUAGCCAAGGACCACCAUUUCUAAGUGCCUGAACACGUGUCCCAUCCAUGAGACUGAAAAUUUCCCCUCUGGGUUUGCUUUAGAGUUGUAUUUAUUUUUCGGUGGAAUCUUCCUGUAACAUAUAACAGUUGUUUGUGCUCGGAUGAGUGUUACCGCCGACUAUCAUGGCUGUGUUGUAAUGGCAUGAUUUACAGAGAAUGAAAUAAAGCAGGAAUGCUCUGACCCAUGG